ACAAGCUUGGAGAACACGCUGUCAUGGCGGCUCAGCUGAGGCGGAAGGGAUGGAAGAAAGGCUUUGUUUCACAAACCCCCUGGGCUGGGUCCCAGUGUCACUCCCUGGCAAGCCUCAGGGGGGCAAUGGUUAAUCACCAACCAUUAACAGAUCCUGUAGCUACCUGCUGGCUAGUGAAAAAGACAUUCAGAUGGAUAACAAAUCAAUUGAUCUGUUCAUAGUAGUGCCCUGUAGAAGAAUUCUUGGCAGGACAAGGGCAUGCUAUACCCCUCCAGAGACUGGACAACGCUGGCCUGUAGAUUGAAGACUUACUCUAAAGACCAUGUACCAUCCUCGAACAAGAACAACAUAGACCAUGUAUCAUCCUUGAACAGAUACAACAAGGAAGAAUGAGCAUUGUGCAAGCAUGAAGCUGGAUGCCAAACACGAUAUGAGAACUGCUAAUUUAGCACACCUUAGCUAAAAAUACUUAUAGUGUGACAAGCAGUCAGAAAUAACAUGUAUGUGCGAAUGCAACCACUUAACCAAUGAGCAUUAAACAGUAGUGGCGUGGAACAGUGUAUACAGAAGCAUAAAUAUGCCAAAGUUACUUAAUAAAGUAGGACGACAUGUAGCCUUAUUGGUGUGAUUGUUAUUACUCGGCUGACUCUCCAUGGGACCCUCUUCAGUGCCCUUCAUAAGAGGUCCUGUGGCUAAUCAUAGUCUGUUUCUUAUUGCUACACAGCUGACAUGAAAAUGACCACAAGUUAUCUUUUUUUUUCCUUAGUUUCUUGCAAGA